GUCAACUACUCACCCCUAAAGGGAUGAGCUUGUAAAAGCGCUUGUUGACCAGACCACUAACUGAGGAUUAGAAAUGUUAGUAAACGAUAAUUUAGAUGUAGAAACCUUGGAAUGCCGCCUCAGUUCCAAGCUCUUUC
rnacentral:sRNA from 23 species